rnacentral:siRNA from 1 species
GUGAAGACUGAUUGGAGACUGCAA